GGGGGGUGGGUUUGAAGAAUUUGAACCCAUUUUUGAUGAACCCAGAAUAGAAUGGUCAAAGAAUUCAAAUCUGGGUUCGGGUUUGAUUGCUUCAUGCGUAUAUUUGCUCCUGACUACAACCACCUCAAUAUUCAAGUAACUGAUUACCAUUCCAAUACUUUCGAGGAUGCUAAAUCGGUUAUGCAGCUUGAUGACUUGAGGAAUUGCAUUGGAAUUGGAGGGUCUUUGACUGAGCUUGUUGAGUAACUUGCUUCUUCUUUUAAAUCUGAUGAUGUAAAGCUUGUUCUUGAGAAAUUUCGGAUCCGGAUGGUGAUUCAUGUUGUUGAACUUUAAUGCAUUUUGAUUCUAAUUUUUAAAUAGUAAAUGAAGAUAUAUGGUGAAGUGAAGUGAUUUUUCAGCCAAGCAUUUCUUACAUGCUGCGGAACUUUUUUUUUUUUUUUGUGGUUUGCUUACUCCUGCCCUCCCCUGCUUUACAACAGACAAACUAGCAGGACGAGAUCCUGCCUCAACGAAAGUUACUAAUCGUGUCGUGUCAGCAUUUCACAGGGCAAAAGUGAGGGGUGCCUUACUCCAGGUUACAGAAGAUGACGAAAAUAACUAGAAGUCAAUUUGACAGUUUGUUUCAAUAUGUUUUGGAAUUAAAGAUUUCAGAUUAGAAUUAUGACUCACAUAUAAUAUACCAAGCCAAGAAGUCAGUUUAAAUAUCUUAGGGUUACUGAUCAGGUAACAAAUGGAUGUCAGUUUUGUAUUUCUCUUAAGAAAAUGUGAUGCCUCCAUCAGAUUUGUAACCUACUAUUUGGGGUGUGUGUGUGUGUGUAUUCUUUUAACCUCUUGUUUAUACAAAUGCUGCUAUGGGUUGAUGUGACCUUACACAUCGUCAAUAUGGCCUCUUCUGUUUCCAAGCAUGUGCUGUUAUCCUUUAGGUUAAGAAACAAGACUCUUGAAAUCAGAUGACAUAUCAAAAAGCAUCUAAAGAACUAGAAGGUAGAAGGCCAACCUUCUUGAGUAUAAUCUAUAAUAGGAGUGAUUUUACAUGAAAGAGGGGCUCCUAUCUACAAGACUAUAAAGUAAGUUGUAAGAGAUAAAUUGAUAUCUGCAAAAGGCAAGACUCUGUUCUAAAUAUAUUCUCUGAAGCACCAUCCCAGAAUAAUUUCUCUUGCUUGUGUCAUUUCUUGUUCUACGGCUCAUACUGAUACCAUUGCGAAAAUCUUCAGACGCGUCCUUUGAGUUUAGUACUUUCGCUUUUCUUAGUGCGGAAGAUAGGCCAGCAGCUUGGCAAGGCAUCCAUGUUGUCAUCAUACCUGCACAAUCCCAAUCAUUCAAAUGUUAAAAUUUAAUAGAACCCAAGAAAUACCUGCUUGUGCUGCUGCUCCGGCUGCUGCUCCCACUUUUCCUACCCUCUUU